CCUACGGGAGGCAGCAGUGGGGAAUAUUGCACAAUGGGGGAAACCCUGAUGCAGCGACGCCGCGUGAGUGAAGAAGUAAUUCGUUAUGUAAAGCUCUAUCAGCAGGGAAGAAAAUGACGGUACCUGAGUAAGAAGCCCCGGCUAACUACGUGCCAGCAGCCGCGGUAAUACGUAGGGGGCAAGCGUUAUCCGGAUUUACUGGGUGGAAAGGGAGCGUAGACGGCAGUGCAAGUCUGGAGUGAAAGGCGGGGGCUUAACCCCCGGACUGCUCUGGAAACUGUACGGCUGGAGUGCAGGAGAGGUAAGUGGAAUUCCUGGUGUAGCGGUGAAAUGCGUAGAUAUUAGGAGGAAAACCAGUGGCGAAGGCGGCUUACUGGACUGUAACUGACGUUGAGGCUCGAAAGCGUGGGGAGCAAACAGGAUUAGAUACCCCACUAGUC
rnacentral:rRNA from 1 species